UACGUAGGGUGCGAGCGUUGUCCGGAAUUAUUGGGCGUAAAGAGCUCGUAGGCGGUCUGUCGCGUCGAUCGUGAAAACUUGGGGCUUAACCCUGAGCUUGCGGUCGAUACGGGCAGGCUAGAGUUCGGUAGGGGAGACUGGAAUUCCUGGUGUAGCGGUGAAAUGCGCAGAUAUCAGGAGGAACACCGGUGGCGAAGGCGGGUCUCUGGGCCGAUACUGACGCUGAGGGAGCGAAAAGCGUGGGGGAGCGAAACAGGAUU
rnacentral:rRNA from 1 species